UUGGGUUGGGCUUCCACCUUUAUUUGGGUUCAGAACCAUCGUUUGUUUACUAUUGUUAAUGAAUGUAAUGUAGUGAAACACCCCUGGACAAUCCUUGAAAAUGGGUGGAAGUUUCCAGCUUCUUACUUGGUUCUUUCCAUGCUUUGAGGAGGAAAUGGGAUAUAGCUAGGAGGAAUAAAUAUUAUUGUUGCUUACCUUGCCCUUUCAGAGAAGAAAUACAAAAUUUUGAAACUCUAUGUGAAAAUCAGCAUCAAUGGUUAUGGAAUUUUGGGCACUUUUGUUAGGAGGGGUUUAUUUCCUUGAAAAAGUACCUGCAAAAGUUGAAUUGGUUAAGCAAUUAUGGGCAUACAUUCUAUUCUAUCCUGAAUGGAAAAAUUAUCUCAAAGAAGCUGAUGAUAAAGUAAAUUUUCUCGAAAGGAAACAAGAAAAAUUGAAUUGUCUAGAGGAAGACACUAAAGAGAAACUAAAAGACGCAGAGUUAAAAUCCGGAAAGAAGCGAAAGAGAGAGGUUGAUACUUGGUUGAGAAAUGUUGUGAUGAAGAGGAAAGAAGUUGAAGACAUAAAACAACAACAUGCUAAAAGAAAAUACUUCUUACAACCAUGGUUGGGAAAUCGUAUUGAUAGGAAUCUUGAAGAGAUGCAACAGCUUUGUGAGCAAGGCCAAUUUUCUGAGGGUUUAUUUCUUGAUGUGAUUCCAACUUAUGGAGAGCAAUUCGUGACAGGACCUUUGGUUGGUCAAAUCUCAAACCUGGAAACAAUUGGUCAAUGGUUGAAAUGUCUCCAAGUGUCAAGAAUUGGAGUUUAUGGUAAAAAGGGAGUUGGGAAAACAGCCAUCUUGACUCAUAUCCAUAAUGAACUCAUCCAAAGUAAGACUUUUGAUUGUGUUUUUUGGGUAAGUGCACCAGAGAAGUGUACUACUCACAAAUUGCAGGAUGUUAUAGCAAGACAAUUUGGGUUAAGUCUCUCUGAUGAAGAAGACACAAAGAUAAGGGCUGCCAAGUUGCAUAAAGCAAUGACACAAAGAAAGAAAUGUGUCAUUAUCUUGGAUGGUAUUGGGACACCUUUCAAAAAUGAAGAUGGGAUUCCUACACAACUAGAUGAUAAAAGCAAAUUGAUUCUGUGUACUGAAAGCUUGAGGAACUGCCAGCGGAUGCAAUGUCAGACUAGUCUUGAAAUAAAGCCACUUUCAAAUGACGAUGCCAUGACCUUGUUUAAGAAAAAAGUUUCCUCUAGCGAACCUCUUGAACCAAAGAUUGAAGAGAUUAUGGAUCAGAUUGUCCAACAUUGUCAAGGCUUGCCUCAGAAGAUUGUAGAACAAGCUGAGAUACUGAAGGGAGUGGAUGACAUAACUGAGUGGAGGAAUGCAUUGGCAGAAAUGACAGAGUCUAGAAAUGAGUCAUCUGAUUGAUUUGAUUACUUCAGCCAAGGAUUAAGUUCUAUGCUUGAAAACUAGAAAAGACUCCCUCGGCACUGGUGGGAAGAUAUGCGAAGUAGAAGAAUCACCCGGGGAAUUUUGGGACUCGAUUCGGCGAUUGGCGGGGCGGAGAAUCAAGAUGACACCGUUCGUAACCCAAGUGAGCGACCCAAUAAUUUGCUGGAAUUUCAAGAGGCGUAAGCAUAACCAUGAAACCACCGGCUGGGUCGUCGAGAUUUUUGAGACAUUCUGUCCAAGUCCGUUGGUCUAGCUCCUUCGUUCGAUGGCUAGAUCACAUAACAACCAACUCCCACCGUUCUUGUUCUAUUUGCUAGUCGAAGCUUCUGCCACCUCCACCAAAUUCACUAUGAUUGUACGGUGACGACCGGUACCGUGAACGUGAACAAGUGUUAUAUUAUUUUAUAAUAUAAUGUUUUAGAUUAAAUAAAUAAGACAAAUUGUCUUACAUAUUUUAACAUAUAUAAAAGAGACGUAUAAUAUUUGAAAAUAUGUGAAUAUUCAAAUAUUUGGAAAUAUAUAAAUAUUCAAAUAUGUAACAUAUUUGAUGUUAAAAAUUCAGUUACAAUUUUGUAACUUCCAAAUAUUA